UACAGAGGGUGCAAACGUUGCUCGGAAUCAUUGGGCGUAAAGCGCACGUAGGCGGCCAACUAAGUCAGACGUGAAAUCCCUCGGCUUAACCGGGGAACUGCGUCUGAUACUGGAUGGCUUGAGUUGGGAGAGGGAUGCGGAAUUCCAGGUGUAGCGGUGAAAUGCGUAGAUAUCUGGAGGAACACCGGUGGCGAAGGCGGCAUCCUGGACCAACACUGACGCUGAGAGCGAAGCCAG
rnacentral:rRNA from 1 species